UACGUAGGGGGCAAGCGUUGUCCGGAAUCAUUGGGCGUAAAGCGCGCGUAGGUGGCCCGGUAAGUCCGCUGUAAAAGCCCAGGGCUCAACCCUGGAAAGCCGGUGGAUACUGUCGGGCUCGAGUCCGGAAGAGGCGAGUGGAAUUCCUGGUGUAGCGGUGGAAUGCGCAGAUAUCAGGAGGAACACCGAUGGCGAAGGCGGCUCGCUGGGACGGUACUGACACUGAGGCGCGAAAGCGUGGGGAGCGAACAGG
rnacentral:rRNA from 1 species